rnacentral:rRNA from 1 species
CAAACUGGGAUUAGAUACCCCACUAAUAGUUACAUAACAAAACUAUUCGCCAGAGUACUACUCGCAACUGCCUAAAACUCAAAGGACUUGGCGGUGCUUCACAUCCACCUAGAGGAGCCUGUUCUAUAAUCGAUAAACCCCGAUAGACCUUACCAACCCUUGCCAAUUCAGCCUAUAUACCGCCAUCUUCAGCAAACCCUAAAAA